GAAAACAAUGUGAAAAGAAAAGUACAUUCAGGAAGUCUUCUCAGAGAGCCUGCAUAUGGUGAGAGCAGGUAGGAACGAACGGAUGGAAAAUGGUCUUGGAAUUGGAGCAGACGAUCUCCUUUAAGAGGAAGUGUGCUACGGGCUCACCCGUUACAGUGACGCAGUCUACAGGAAUAAACAGCUUUUAUCCUGUGUACUGGCAGAGGCAUGACUAGUGAUGGUCAUGCAAAUUAAGGUGGUUACACGAUAUUUGGUCGUCCUUAGA
rnacentral:ncRNA from 1 species